GACGAACGCUGGCGGCGUGCUUAACACAUGCAAGUCGAACGGUAAGGCCCUUCGGGGUACACGAGUGGCGAACGGGUGAGUAACACGUGGGUGAUCUGCCCUGCACUUCGGGAUAAGCCUGGGAAACUGGGUCUAAUACCGGAUAGGACUCCGGACUGCAUGGUCUGGGGUGGAAAGCUUUUGCGGUGUGGGAUGGGCCCGCGGCCUAUCAGCUUGCUGGUGGGGUGAUGGCCUACCAAGGCGACGACGGGUAGCCGGCCUGAGAGGGUGACCGGCCACACUGGGACUGAGAUACGGCCCAGACUCCUACGGGAGGCAGCAGUGGGGAAUAUUGCACAAUGGGCGCAAGCCUGAUGCAGCGACGCCGCGUGAGGGAUGGCGGCCUUCGGGUUGUAAACCUCUUUCAGCAUCGACGAAGCGAAAGUGACGGUAGGUGCAGAAGAAGGACCGGCCAACUACGUGCCAGCCGCCGCGGUAA
rnacentral:rRNA from 1 species